UAUUAACGGCCGCAGUACCUUGACUGUGCAAAGGUAGCAUAAUAAUUUGACUUUUAAAUGGAGCCUAGAAUGAAAGAAAGAACGUAUGCAACUUGUCUCAUUGAUAUUACUUUAAAUUUAAUGGUUGAGUGAAAAUACUCAUAAUUUAAUAAUAGACGAGAAGACCCUUAGAAUUUUUAAAAGCAAUAACUAAUUCUUAUUAGAUUUUUUGUUGGGGCAACAAUAUUUCAAAUAAUAAAUAUAUUAAUGAAAGUAAUAAGUCGAAUAAAUAAUUAUAGAAAAAUUACUCUAGGGAUAACAGCAUAAUUUAUUAAUAAGCUUGUGACCUCGAUGUUGGACUAGGUUGU
rnacentral:rRNA from 1 species